rnacentral:rRNA from 1 species
UACGUAGGGUGCAAGCGUUGUCCGGAAUUAUUGGGCGUAAAGCGCGCGUAGGCGGCUUUGCAAGUCGGGUGUGAAAUCCCUCAGCUUAACUGGGGAACUGCGUGUGAUACUGGAUGGCUUGGAUUUGGGAGAGGGAUGCGGAAUUCCAGGUGUAGCGGUGAAAUGCGUAGAUAUCUGGAGGAACACCGGUGGCGAAGGCGGCAUCCUGGACCAAUAUUGACGCUGAGGAGCGAAAGCUAGGGGAGCAAACGGG